rnacentral:rRNA from 1 species
AACGAACGCUGGCGGCAGGCCUAACACAUGCAAGUCGAGCGCCCCGCAAGGGGAGCGGCGGACGGGUGAGUAACGCGUGGGAACGUACCCUUUGUUACGGAAUAGCCUCGGGAAACUGGGAGUAAUACCGUAUGUGCCCUUCGGGGGAAAGAUUUAUCGGCAAAGGAUCGGCCCGCGUUGGAUUAGGUAGUUGGUGGGGUAAUGGCCUACCAAGCCGACGAUCCAUAGCUGGUUUGAGAGGAUGAUCAGCCACACUGGGACUGAGACACGGCCCAGACUCCUACGGGAGGCAGCAGUGGGGAAUCUUAGACAAUGGGCGCAAGCCUGAUCUAGCCAUGCCGCGUGAGCGAUGAAGGCCUUAGGGUUGUAAAGCUCUUUCAGUGGGGAAGAUAAUGACUGUACCCACAGAAGAAGCCCGGCUAACUCCGUGCCAGCAGCCGCGGUAAUGUACAGUGU